GUACUGUGCGUGGCCAUAGGCCAACUAGCUAGCUAGCGCCUUUAACGAAUUAUUCCUUUAUUCUUUUAUUUUUGAACAUGCUCUUUUAUAUAUCCUUCUUCAUUCUUGGUUUGUUUGGGGAUUAGAUCAUCCCCUUUUUCUGCUUUCCUUUUUAAGACAAGAGAUCAAGGAAAGGUGUAAAUUAUGACAAGAUGUGUAUAUAUGAAUGGAUCUUUCUCUCAUUUCCAUGCAGAAUUUUGUAAUUUCCUUGCUUGAACGAAAUUCAAGUGAAUUCGGUGUACUUUGCUGUUAGAACUUGUUUGGCAUGGGUACAGUGGAUUUCACUGGAUUUUAAGAAAAUUGUAGAGAUUCUAAUUCAAAAAGUGAACUACGAUUCAAAAAAUCUCUAGAAAUUUCGUGAACACCUAUGCAUGUCAAACAAGACUUUAGAGGGAGGGCCACUCAUUUUUUUUAGUUUUUUUUAAACAAUGGAGCUCCCAUCGAUUUCCAUUAAAAAAACCACCCAGUCUUACGGAACAUAGUCUUGAAAGGAAAAAAAAACACAAAAGCUAGCAAAAAAGAAAGAGCCAGCCAGAAACCAGGCUAGGCUAACACAGUGCCAAGAUCACUCGAUGCACCAAACGGAAGUAGCACUGCCCCACAGGCCUAAUCAGCAGAUUACAGACACAGACAGGAAACAGAAAAGCAUAAAACUCCCGAGACCCAAAGGGACUUCCUUCUUCACCCAGUAAACCGACGCACAUGAGCCCACCCAUGACUACUUGCAUAAGCUUCUAGCACCACUUCUUUGAUCUUGCGAUGCCCUCCUCAAGCUUUCCUUGGUUUUGCUCUUUCUUCAAGAUGGACCGAGAGGCCAGAUUACCACAUAGUGAGAAAAUAAUACCGUAGGGUCAGUGGGGAGCUGUUGUCUGAAGCAGGCAUUAUUCCUUGUUCUCCAUACUGUCCAGGCCACAGCUGCUGCACCACAUAGCCUCAUCUUGUGCUGG
rnacentral:lncRNA from 1 species